rnacentral:misc_RNA from 1 species
AUUCAAAAUGGCGCUUCCCAUGGGGACAUGAUUUGCAGCAAGAAUGUUUAUUUUUCUUUAUAAAGUUCUAUAAUGAGCUGUAUUAAAUAGGACAUGUAAAUCAUUCUAGCUGUCUACUAAGAAGCCAUGAGAAAUUUAAAACUUCUGCGUUGUGAACAAACCCCAGCCUGUGAGAGUUAUCCGGAUGUCCGUCAGUCCAGCAUAGAUCCAGAUACUGGAACACUAUACUGUGCAACAAGAACGUUAUUGUUUGGAUUGACAAGUGAUGGAAAGAAAUGUUAUGAAGCUCCUUUGACCGAGUACAUUCCAACCGAUGGGUCUGGUGAUGUCAUUGGUUUACAGUAUCUUCCAGAUCAGCAGUCAAACUGUGUCGCCACUAGCUCAGGAGAUGUUCUGCUGUGCAAUUCCUCCUAUCAAGAGAUUGAAUGUGUUGGUAAUGUCGAUAGUGGAUUGUUGGCUAUGGCGUGGAGUCCAGAUCAAGAUGUGGUUGUAUUUGUUACAGGAGCCGAUACUUUAAUUUUGAUGAAUCGAGAAUUUGAUCCCAUCACAGAGGUACCACUUCAACCACCGGAUGCAGGAGAAGCUGAAUUUGUGAAUGUUGGCUGGGGAAAAAAAGAAACCCAGUUUCAUGGAUCAGAGGGAAAAGAUGCUGCCAAGAAGAAGGCGGAGGAAGUUGGUCAAGCACUAUACAUGGAUGAUCAGCGACCACGGGUGUCCUGGCGAGGUGAUGGUCAAUACUUUGUCGUCAGCAGCAUUCACAAAACAACAGGAUGCCGGUGUCUACAUGUGUGGACCAGGGAGUGUAUACUUCACUCAACAGGGGAGGUGCUUAAUGGUUUGGAGCAAGCCCUUGCUUGGAAACCAAGUGGCAGUCUGAUUGCGUCGACAAGGAGAAAGCCAAACAAACAUGAAGUGGUGUUCUUCGAGAAGAAUGGACUGAACCAUGGGGAAUUCACUCUGCCAUUCCAACACGAUCAGAUUACGGUGUGUGAGCUGUUGUGGAACUCUGACUCCACAGUGUUGGCUGUUUGGUGUGAAGAGUUGACACCGUCAAAGGACAAUGAUGGUCGUCGGUCAAACACAUACAUUCAGUUGUGGACUGUGAACAACUACCACUGGUAUCUGAAGCAGAGCCUUCACUUCAUCUCACAGCCGGGUGAUGGCAUUGUGACUGUUCUGUGGGACCCCGAGCAGGCCUACAAGCUACACGUCGUGUUGUCCAGCGGUCAGCACCUCGGUUACACCUGGGCCUGGACCACAGAUAACAGUCUCGGGAAGUCGGCUGAUGAUGACGCAGUCACUGCUGUUAUUGAUGGAGACCAAGUUCUGGUGACUCCGUUCCGUGUGAUGGUUGUCCCCCCACCCAUGUGUGCGUACAGUCUGCAGCUCCCGGCCCCAGUCUGUCAGGUAGCGUUUGGCUCGGACAGAGCCGACAUUGCUGUGAUCACAAACAACAACAAACUAGCUAUCUACAAACAACUGGACAGCAGUGACAAAGAGACAAAAUCUGAUGACAGUGUAACCAUAUCGGCAGCUGGUGGUAAUGGUUUCAAGUCUCAGUGCAACACACACAGGCUACAGGCUGUUUACAGUAUUGAUGUGGGCAGCUCAGGACUGGACCGAGACUCUCUGACAGUGAUGCAUCUCACCUGGGUCUCGGAUGACUUGUUUGUCUUUGCUGUCACCGACUCCACCACCAGAACAUCUCUACUGUGUUCAGCCUCACUGUCAAACAGUAGUCUGCAGAUCAGCUGUGUGACAGAAGUUCAACAUGGAGUGGUGUCGAGUCUGUGUCGCAGUCUGAAGGCUGGUACUUUGGCUCUACAGACUCAGGAUGGAUCUCUCUUCAGGUUCACUCCGGCAUCGUCCAGUGGAGAGAGUGGGAAACUUGAAUCGUGGUCAGACAGCCGAGGGGCAGUUAUCAGAUUUCCAUACUUCUGUACACAGAUGGCCACAUGUGCGUUUGCCAAUAAUGAAGUAGUACUUGGACUGACAGAGAGAUACAGGUUUUAUGUCAAUGAUGUGGAGUUUGCCUCCAACUGUACAUCAUUUGCCAUCCAUGAUGAAUUCCUCCUGCUCACGACGCUGGCUCACACACUGCGCUGUAUCUGUUUCACUACAAAGGUGUCUGAUCUGCACAGUCUGCUGCAUGGUAAAGCUCACCCGUUUGACGAGAGUGUACGACGGGUUGAACGGGGGUCACGAAUCGUGACUGCUGUGCGAGGGGAGACAACUGUUGUUCUGCAGAUGCCGCGUGGAAACCUCGAGGUUAUCCACCCGCGAGCUCUGGUCCUCUCAGCCAUCAAGAAACAUCUUGACAAUCUACAGUACCAGAAAGCUCUGAUUCUGAUGAGAAAGCACCGAAUUAACACCAAUCUGAUCUAUGACCAUGACCCGGAGUGUUUCCGAAACAAUGUGCUCCAGUUUGUGUUACAAGUGAAAGAAGCCAACUACAUCAACUUGUUUCUCACGGAUCUCCAGGAAGAAGAUGUAACUGUCACAAUGUACACAGCAACCUACAAGAGAGUGCCAGUUGCUGUAGUUGAUGACGACGAUAGUGAUAAACCUAAAAAAGUGGAUGUUGUGUGCGACUGCAUGCGAGAAGCUCUGACUGCUAUAGAUAAAGACAAAUACAUCCUCUCCAUUCUGACGUGUCACGUGAAGAAAACCAAGCCAGACCUGGAAGAGGCACUGCACGUCAUUAAGCAGGUCAAAGAGAGUCCUGCAGGGUCGCGGUCUGUCACAACGGACGAGACUCUCAAGUAUCUGCUUUUCCUCGUCGAUGUCAACAACCUGUACGAUGUCGCUCUCGGAAUGUACGACUUCGACCUCGUACUCCUGGUGGCUCAGAAAUCACAGAAGGACCCUAAAGAGUAUGUACCAUUUCUGAAUGAGUUGAGGCGUAUGGAAGGCAACAUGAUGAAGUAUACAAUAGACGUUCAUUUACGAAGAUUCCACAAGGCUCUUGUACAUAUCAGUAAAUGUGGACCAGAUCAUUUUGACCAGUGCUUGUCUUUAAUACAAGAGCAUAAACUUUACCUGGAGGCCAUACCAUUAUUUCCCAAUUCAUCCAACAAUUACAAGCAAGUGUGUAAGGUCUAUGGCCAGUACCUGUGUGAGAAGAACAGACAAGAUGAAGCAGGCGUCAUGUUUCUGAAAGCGGGAGACUGGCAGAUGGCGCUGGACGCGUUUGUGUCAUGUCACAACUGGCGACAGGUCUUCUGUGUCACCUCACUGUUGGGCUACACGCCGGACAAGGAGAUCCAGAUAGCGAGAAAACUGGCUGCCCAGAUAAAGGACCUGAAGAACUACAGUGAUGCUGCUGUUAUAUUUGAACAACAUGCUAAGGAUACCGAGGAAGCCAUUGUUUGUCUUGUGGAAGGGUGUCUUUGGGAUGAAGCACUACGAAUGAUGUACAAGCACACGCGUACUGACUUCAUUGAGACAAAUCUGAAAAGUGGAUUACUGGAAAGUCACAGUCACACGAUGGAAGGACUACAGAGCAUGAGGACCGACUUUGACAAACACAGACACAGACUUAGAACUGUCAGAGAACACAAGAGGAAAGCAAGUCUGGACCUGCUAGGUCUAAAAAACUGACUGCUUUUCACGGGUCAUUAUUUCAAGUUCAGCAUUUUUCAAUAAUUUUAACAGAUGGCGAGAGUGCAAUGAACGUCCACAAUUCAGACCUGUUCUCUGACACCAGCAGUGUCCUGUCUGCUCAGUCGACGGUCGACAGUCGGAGAUCCACCGUCAUCAGCAGGGUGUCUGG